GAUGAACGCUGGCGGCGUGCCUAAUACAUGCAAGUCGAGCGAAUGGAUUAAGAGCUUGCUCUUAUGAAGUUAGCGGCGGACGGGUGAGUAACACGUGGGUAACCUGCCCAUAAGACUGGGAUAACUCCGGGAAACCGGGGCUACUACCGGAUAACAUUUUGAACCGCCUGGUUCGAAAUUGAAAGGCGGCGUCGGCUGUCACUUAUGGAUUGACCCGCGUCGCAUUAGCUAGUUGGUGAGGUAACGGCUCACCAAGGCAACGAGGCGUAGCCGACCUGAGAGGGUGAUCGGCCACACUGGGACUGAGACACGGCCCAGACUCCUACGGGAGGCAGCAGUAGGGAAUCUUCCGCAAUGGACGAAAGUCUGACGGAGCAACGCCGCGUGAGUGAUGAAGGCUUUCGGGUCGUAAAACUCUGUUGUUAGGGAAGAACAAGUGCUAGUUGAAUAAGCUGACACCUUGACGGUACCUAACCAGAAAGCCACGGCUAACUACGUGCCAGCCGCCGCAGUAA
rnacentral:rRNA from 1 species